ensembl:lncRNA
CUCAGCAAACGGGAGAUCAUCUCCAGCUCGGGAAGUUUAUAAACUGCAACUUUCCCUAUACUAUGAAAUAAUGGCAGAGGUAUUGAAAUAGAACUAUGCUGAGUUUCUCCCUAUUUUCUUACUCUUAUCCAAAGCACAGGACACUUAUCCUCGUUUUAAAUUCCAGAGUGAUAGACAAAUGCAGCUCAGUGCUACCUCAGACAAUGCAGCUUAUUUUCCACAUCUGGCUAAAUCUAUCUUUGGAAAAGCCCAUCUCUAAAUCGUGUCACAUCAGAUCAAAAGAACUCUUGAUGCGAGUUGAGCAUGCUUGUGGUUUUGGUCUUGUGACAUAAGUGCUGUACUUCGAAUUUUCACCUGAAUUUCUUCAACUUAAAAAUAUUAGCGUUGCUGUUUGCACUAUGAGCACAUUAUUUGGAAUACAAAGGCACAAAAUGUUUCCAUUGCCACAAAUCAGCUAUCCCCAGGGCUCCUAUCCACAGAAUUUUCUUUCAGUGAGAAGUUCUGGCUUUUCGUUCUGAUUAGAAACACCACAAGGUCUGAAAAUGUUGCAAUUCCCAGAAGUUCCAUUUUCCUCACAGCUCUUUCCUCAUUGCAGUCUACAAAAUGUCAGCGUGCUUGUAAAAGGAAGGUUCAUAUCACUUACAAACAUUCAUCCUGUAGAUAUCGUUGUUUAAACAUCUGCUGAUCUUUCAUGGUCCCAUUAAGAUCUCUCCCACAGCAGCGAGCUGAGUUGGAUUUUCUGGUCCCCAGAACCUAGAUGCAGGAAUUCCCACAUCCCACGCCCAAACCAUCAGUAUAAAACAACAAACCACUUUCAUCGCACAAGUACUUCUUGGCAAGCACAAAAUACAAAAGAGGAGUAAUGAUCCUCCAGACAAAAACAGGAACGCUUGUUCUCAUUAAGGGUUUCCCUUGGAUUUUACUCAGCACAGUAAGAAACUGCUCAACACUCCUCUGCGACCUGGAAUUGCAAGUAAAGAGAAGUCCUCAAAAGUUAAGAUCUGGAGGCACCUUGUUUUUCAUUUUUUGUUUGUUUGUUCCAAGGAGAAGCUACCACAACGAGGGAAAGCCACGCUCAGUCUCUGAAGAGCCACCUGUUACUUCAGCCUCUUGAUGUUCAAUGCCCAAGAGAAGACUUGGAAGACCAGAAGGAUUCUGAUUUCAUUCAUCUGGCUUCUGCUAUGAGAAAACACCUCCCCUAAAGCCAUCUCUUAAAAGUUUGCCUGCUCUUUCUUAGUGCUCAUUUGUUUUGCUUACAGAAUUAGGCCCAUGGAAACUAGCUCUUUACCCACUAGGUUGAAAAGUU